rnacentral:rRNA from 1 species
CUACGGGCGGCACCAGUGAGGAAUAUUGCACAAUGGGGGGAACCCUGAUGCAGCAACGCCGCGUGGAGGAUGACGCAUUUCGGUGUGUAAACUCCUUUUAUAUGUCAAGAAAAUGACGGUAGCAUAUGAAUAAGCACCGGCUAACUCCGUGCCAGCAGCCGCGGUAAUACGGAGGGUGCAAGCGUUACUCGGAAUCACUGGGCGUAAAGGACGCGUAGGCGGGUUGGAAAGUCAGGUGUGAAAUCCUACAGCUUAACUGUAGAACUGCACUUGAAACUUCUAAUCUAGAGUAUGGGAGGGGGAGAUGGAAUUAGUGGUGUAGGGGUAAAAUCCGUAGAUAUCACUAGGAAUACCUAAAGCGAAGGCGAUCUCCUGGAACAUUACUGACGCUAAGGCGUGAAAGCGUGGGGAGCAAACAGGAUUAGAUACCCGAGUAGUC